ensembl:lncRNA
UUACAAAAACUUACUCAGAAAACUGUCUUUGAACAGUGAGUUAUCAAAUGAAUAACAAACCACAUUUGUGUCUUUAUAAACCCCAUAGUCAAAUUGCAGGAUAUGGUAACACCUGCAGCAAAUAAUUAGACAGCUGCAUGUAGCUGCAGUAAAUGAGAGCUGAUGUAAAUAUGGUAAUUUUAGUGAUUAAAUGAUUAAUAAGCUUUAUAUAUUAUCAACACAGCUCUUCAGCACGAAUCAUUAACUGGAGAUUAAUAUUUAGUAACUUACAUUUUAGACACAACUCCAAUAGUUCCAAAACUAAGCCACAAAAGAAUCACUGUAUCUCCCAGAAACACACAGUUAGGGGGGUUUGUGUUUUUGAAUGAAUUAUUAAGUAAAAAAAAAAAAAAAAAAAGAUCAGAGACACAUUUUCAAAGCAAAAGUCCUUGCUGUGAUUACGCAGCUUCAAAAACAUCCACUUUUCUGAUCAUUAGCGAUCUAAAACAGCUUCCUGCUAAUGUACGCUAGAAGAACAAUGUGACAAAAUGUAUUUUUUAGGCUGUACAAAAACUCUUGUUCAAAUCUGUUGUCUUUCACACCACAAAAUACUUCCAUCCCUACAAUAAAUAAUAUUCUGAGCAGCAGGAGAUGUGGUUACACCUUGCAAAUGAAGAAUACAAACCAAUGUGAAAAUCCAUUCUGAGGAAACAGGUGGAGCUUCCAGAGGAGACUUCAGUUUGUCACUUGUCAUGUUAUGUUAUUUUACUCUGCCUAAAGUCUCACUAUGAUGCUGUACAUAGUUAUUUGGAUCUUAACUCUUGCAGAUGUAACUCGCGCAGAAACCAUUACCCCUGAACACUCAGAAGUGCGUGCAAAUGAGACUGAGAACAUAACACUCUCCUGUAGUUAUUCCUCGGCAUACAGUCUCCUUUGGUAUCGACAGCAUCAUACAUCAGCUCCUCAGUUCCUCAUGCUCAUCCUACAAAAUUCUGGAAAAGUAAUACAGACCUCAGACGACCGCCUAUCUGGAAAACUGAACGUGGACAAAAAUCGUGUGGAUUUGGAAAUCCCCUUUUCCACAGUUAAAGAGUCUGCAGUGUAUUUCUGUGCACUGCAGACCACGGUGACAGGAAAUCAAAUGUUACUGUACGAAAACCUUACAGCUUGAGAUCACAUGUGUUUUUCAUGCUCAAUAUUCACUCUGAGUUAAGGGGAGGAGCUUCAAGCAGCUGUAAAGAUCUCAAGUGCCAUCAUAGAUGUGCCAGUUCAUCGUGAUGCUGCUCACCACAGUUAUCCUGCUCUGUGCUGUUGGAAGUGAGUAUAAUUUAAUAUUAAAUAAAAGUUAAGGAUAUUUUUAUUAUUGGGUUUGUCUUAAAAGAAUAAUGUACAUUUAAUAUUUAAAUAUAAUUACACUGUAAACUUUAUACAAAACAAAAGUUGUUAUAGUUCAGAUUCUACUGUAUAUCUAAUUCUGUUUAUCAUAAUUGUUUAGGUGGAAGGUCUGAGAGUCCUAUUACAUCAGACCAAACUGAGGUUGUUGACGAGGAGGGUGCCAAUUUAACUUUAUCCUGUAGCUACUCAGCUGCAAUUAGUUUGCAUUGGUACCGUAAAUAUCCCAAAUCAGCUCCUGAAUAUAUUUUAUUAAUUCUGCAAACCUCUGGACGGGUCCAGAAAGCAGCGAAACUGGAUUCUCAGUUUUCAGCGAGACUGAAUGAAAAGAAAAACCGUGUGGAGCUGAUCGUCUCCUCUGUCAAAGUGACAGAUUCUGCUCUGUACUACUGUGCUCUGGAGACCACAGUGACAGGAAACCUAUCCACACUGUACAAAAACAUACAUAUACACAGUUAUUUAAAAAAAAUACUCAUAUAGUCCUCAUUCAAAAAGUUAAGAUAUUGUAACAGCUAAACAGUGUAACAGCCCUAAUACUGUACAUAAGAAAAAUAUGUCCUUAUGAAAAAAGUAAAUUAUCGUGGUCUAUCUUUUGAGUAAUCUGCCAUCUAGUGGUCCUUUAGGCUCAGUACAUUGGCUGAAUUAUUUGUGAAAUACAUGUCUUUUGUGGCUUUAUGAUAUCAAAUCAAGCAGUGAAAAUUAUCUACUUAAGUUAUCUACUCAAAUGUAGUGAUUUUUUAAAGACAGGGAACAUAAGUAUAUGAGUUUCUUUCUGUCUAUUAUUUUUGCAUGUAUAUUUAUUUCCAUUUAUCACUUUGGUUGAAGCCAACCAAAUAUUAUUUAUACAAUAAUAGUAAUAAUAUAGUUGUGAUAUGCACAAAAGACAAGAGCAAAUGAAUACAUUCCUGUCAAAUUAAUGUUAAAUGCAAACCAGUUCAUUAAAGAUGAACACUAUGAAUAUAUCAAAGUUGAUCAAAGAACUUAAUAACUUAAUAAAAUGCCAGUAGAUUAUGACAUGACAUGGCAGUCUGAUUGACAGUCGACAAAAAUUCAGAAAGUUUGACAGCGAUACAGCAUGUCAACAUGUGUUUCUCCUGGGUUUGAGUCCGUGGAGCUCUACUCCAGCGGUUACGUGUCAGCAGAUGCUCAGCUGAUGUUGAGUGACUCUCCACAGACAGCUGGAGGAAAAAAAAACAACAAGAAGCUUCUCCUGCAGCAGCCGCUAUGAAGAAUGGCCCAGCAGGCUAGGAAUAAAAUUAGAAUCUAAUGGAAAUAGUAAUAAAAUAUUAAUGAUUUCUAAAUAUUACUUUAGAAAACAUUACUUGUCAAAAGUACAAGAUCACCACAACAAAUAUUAAGAAAUCAUAUUAAAAUGCUGUAUUUUGAUCAUUUGAUCAUUAUUCCUGUGAUCAUAGAGAGCUGUUAAGCAUGUUGCACUUUCUUGUGGCAGGGGCAACAAAGUGACCGCAGAUCUACUUGUUUUUGAGCCAAUGACACAACGAGAUCAAGUGGAUUCCCAAGCAGGUCCACCUAGCCUUGGUUGUAAGUUAAUGACUGAUCCUCUUCCAUCCCACCUCGAUGCUGGCUUAACAUUAGUCCCAGGUCUAACCUAUGUCAAGCUGAAACUUGAUCCGGGCAAUUCAGAGCCAAAACCAUGGAUCUCAGAUCUAUGCCGCAAUCCAGCAGAUAUCCAGCCAGCUCUUAUAAAUUGAUCCAUGUCCAUCUGGUGUCUGACAGUUAACUCAGAUCCGGCUGAUCCUGAGCCAUCAUGUAACUCAGUUACAUCUGUACCAAGCCUAACUAACAUGGAACCAGUAGGGUCUCAGUAGAAUUAUCUUGUAUUCUCACACAAAGAUCAUUACUUCUAGAUAAAAAAAUCAUUACAGUGAAACAGAAACCAAAUUAUAAAAAUAUAUUUUUUAUUAAACAAAUAAAACAUUUACAUUUCAUUAAAACAUACAUUAAAACAAUUAAAAGCAUUGGUUGUGUGUCCUUUUCGAGUCACCCUCGCCAUUGGUCAGUUUUUCACGGGCAAGUUCACUAGUUUACUGUAAAUGGAUUCACAGUAGUGAAGAAAUACAUGAAUGACCAUAUAUUUUCCCAUGAUUUCUGUCAUGUCUAUGUUUUAAUCUUCUUUCCAAGCUUUCUUUUUGGCCCUGACACUGAUAUCUUUCAGGUUCAAGUUCAGGAGAUGAUCAUAAGCAUGAGAACGAUCCUGCAUUUUUACAUUAUACCAGCAGGGAGCACCCAGAGUUUUGACCUACAAUGAAAGGAUACACAACCCUGACAGUUCAGAGGUUAUAUAGUCAAUCUUUCAGCUCUUUGUAGCAAACUGCUUUUGGUCCAUCAUGAGAACUAGGCUGAGGGAUGUGCUUUUUGUUGUAUUCUUUCUAGGUACGGCACUUUCUAGUUAUUUAUUUCUGUUGUUUGAGAAUGUGAUGUGAGAGGCAGUGUGAGUUAAGAAUGUUUUGUGCUCUCCACAGAAUGCAGAGGACAACACACUUUACGUCAGUCAUCAAGCUCUUCUUCAGCUUACACAGGAGAGACCGUGACACUGAAGUGUGAAUAUAAUACGACAGACACAAUACCUGCUCUGCUGUGGUACAGGCAAACAAAGAAUUUAUAUCCAGAAUAUAUCUUAGUAAGACAUAAUUUUGGAAAUGGAAGUAAUUCCAAAGACUUCCCCAACAAAAGAUUUCAGUCCCAGCUGGAUUCUGUUUCAAGAAGAAUUUCACUGACUAUCCAGAACCUUCAUCUGUCUGACUCUUCAUUGUACUUCUGUGCUUUGAGGCCCACUGUGAAAACAGGAUACUGAGUGUUUAAACAAAAACCUGAACUUCACAGCCCUCGUAAUAGUUAAUAGUUUGAUGCCAUUCUCAUUGUUUGUAUGUGAUAAAAGUAACACAGUUUAAUGCUGAUAAAUAAAGCAACAACAACAACAUGAAUUAAAAAAAUUAGUCAGUCGCUACUUACAUCUAAAACAUUUGUAUAUAAUUUCUAUAAAACAUAUUUAUAUACAUAUUAUGAAGCGCCAAAUAGGAAAGUAUUAUAUAAAAU